rnacentral:tRNA from 1 species
GGAUUAUGGCUCAGUGGUAGAGCUCUCACCUCCCACAUGUAAGGCCCUGGGUUCGAUCCUCAGCACCA